AGGUUCUAACUCUGUCCCGUGAUCCGGGACGAGGACCGUGUCUGGUGGGUAGUUUGACUGGGGCGGUCUCCUCCCAAAGCGUAACGGAGGAGCACGAAGGUUGGCUAAUCCUGGUCGGACAUCAGGAGGUUAGUGCAAUGGCAUAAGCCAGCUUAACUGCGAGACAGACACGUCGAGCAGGUACGAAAGUAGGUCAUAGUGAUCCGGUGGUUCUGUAUGGAAGGGCCAUCGCUCAACGGAUAAAAGGUACUCCGGGGAUAACAGGCUGAUACCGCCCAAGAGUUCAUAUCGACGGCGGUGUUUGGCACCUCGAUGUCGGCUCAUCACAUCCUGGGGCUGAAGUCGGUCCCAAGGGUAUGGCUGUUCGCCAUUUAAAGUGGUACGCGAGCUGGGUUUAGAACGUCGUGAGACAGUUCGGUCCCUAUCUGCCGUGGGUGUAGGAUACUUGAGAGGAGUUGCCCCUAGUACGAGAGGACCGGGGUGAACGAUCCACUGGUGUACCAGUUGUUCCGCCAGGAGCAGUGCUGGGUAGCUAUGAUCGGACAGGAUAACCGCUGAAGGCAUCUAAGCGGGAAGCCCCCUUCAAAACAAGAUAUCCCUGAGAGCCGAGGUAGACCACCUCGUCGAUAGGCCAGAGAUGUAAGCGCUGUAAGGCGUUCAGUUGACUG
rnacentral:rRNA from 14 species